CUACGGGGUGCUGCAGUGGGGAAUAUUGGACAAUGGGGGAAACCCUGAUCCAGCAAUGCCGCGUGUGUGAAGAAGGCCUGCGGGUUGUAAAGCACUUUCGGUUGGGAGGACUGCUUCUAGCACUAAUAUUGUUGGAAGUUGACGUUACCUUCAGAAGAAGCACCGGCUAACUCCGUGCCAGCAGCCGCGGUAAUACGGAGGGUGCAAGCGUUAAUCGGAAUUACUGGGCGUAAAGCGCGCGUAGGCGGCUAGAUCAGUCGGGUGUGAAAGCCCCGGGCUUAACCGGGGAACUGCAUCCGAUACUGUCUAGCUUGAGUACAGGAGAGGAGAGUGGAAUUCCACAUGUAGCGGUGAAAUGCGUAGAUAUGUGGAGGAACACCAAUGGCGAAGGCAGCUCUCUGGCCUGAUACUGACGCUGAGGUGCGAAAGCGUAGGGAGCAAACAGGAUUAGAUACCCCAGUAGUC
rnacentral:rRNA from 1 species